GGUGCAGGCAAAACACCAACUUUAGGAGGAGGAUUCCAUGCCAACUUGGGAAAGGAGUCGCGAGCACAAACUCUGCAGAAUGGAGAACGUCAGAGUUCACCA